UACGAAGGGGGCUAGCGUUGUUCGGAUUUACUGGGCGUAAAGCGCGCGCAGGCGGUUCUUUUAAGUCAGGGGUGAAAGCCCAGAGCUCAACUCUGGAAUUGCCUUUGAAACUAGAGAACUUGGGUACGGGAGAGGUGAGUGGAAUUCCGAGUGUAGAGGUGAAAUUCGUAGAUAUUCGGAAGAACACCAGUGGCGAAGGCGGCUCACUGGCCCGUUACCGACGCUCAGGCGCGACAGCGUGGGGAGCAAACAGG
rnacentral:rRNA from 1 species